UUUAAAUUCUUUUAGUGCAAAUAGAACAUUAAAACAGCACUCAGCAAUACUGAAAAUUCAUUUUAUUUUUAAUAGCUCAUCUACAUCUUGUUCACUAAAUAGGUUAUAAAGAAAGUUCAUGCAAAAGAUUCAUUUCCCUCAACCUUUGAAAUAUUGGCAUGAAAAUUGAACAUAAAACCUUACUGGUGAAAAGAAGCCGAAGGAAACAAACAUGAAGCUUGUAACUGCAAUUGUAAAACCGUUUAAAUUGGAUGAUGUGCGUGAAGCGCUCUCUGACAUUGGUGUACAAGGGAUUACCGUAACUGAAGUUAAAGGUUUUGGUCGUCAAAAAGGACAUACAGAACUCUACCGUGGCGCGGAGUAUGUGGUUGAUUUCUUACCUAAAGUAAAAAUCGAAAUUGCGAUUAGUGAUGAAAUGGUUGACGCGGUAAUUGAAUCAAUUACUCGUGUAGCAAGCACUGGAAAAAUCGGCGAUGGUAAGAUUUUUGUGACUAACCUGGAACAAGUAAUCCGUAUUCGUACGGGUGAAACUGGACCGGAUGCUGUGUAAAUUGGCACAAAGCUUGUUGAGUAGAAAAUAACUCG
rnacentral:rRNA from 1 species